rnacentral:rRNA from 1 species
CAGGGCUUGACAUGGGGAGGCUGUAUCCAGAGAUGGGUAUUUCCCGCAAGGGACCUCCUGCACAGGUGCUGCAUGGCUGUCGUCAGCUCGUGUCGUGAGAUGUUGGGUUAAGUCCCGCAACGAGCGCAACCCUCGCCUUUAGUUGCCAGCACGUUUGGGUGGGCACUCUAGAGGAACUGCCGGUGACAAGCCGGAGGAAGGUGGGGAUGACGUCAAGUCCUCAUGGCCCUUAUGUCCUGGCUACACACGUGCUACAAUGGCGAUGACAGUGGGAGGCUAGAUGGUGACAUCGUGCCGAUCUCUAAAAGCCGUCUCAGUUCGGAUUGUACUCUGCAACUCGAGUGCAUGAAGGUGGAAUCGCUAGUAAUCGCGGAUCAGCAUGCCGCGGUGAAUACGUUCCC